rnacentral:lncRNA from 1 species
UGGCUAUUACAUUAUGCAAUGGAUGAUUACCAUUAUAAGACUAGGUGUUAAAACUGGUUGGAAAGAGGUACUAUAUAUGUUAAAUCAUUUUUAUAAUUCUUGAACAUAUAUAUAUCUAAGUACUAAUUUAUGUCAACUUUGCAAUGCAGUUAUUCACAGAAGAAACACCAAUGAGUGAGGAAGGCAUUUCAUAUGUUAGAGAUUCUUGGUCCACAUAUUUCAUUAAUUUUUAUAACUCUAGCAUAGGUAAACAAUAGUGGUUUUAUUAUAUGUAAUUUGAUCACUUGUAAAUGUACA